CUCGUAGGCGGUUUGUCACGUCGGGAGUGAAAACUCAGGGCUCAACCCUGAGCGUGCUUCCGAUACGGGCAGACUAGAGGUAUGCAGGGGAGAACGGAAUUCCUGGUGUAGCGGUGGAAUGCGCAGAUAUCAGGAGGAACACCGGUGGCGAAGGCGGUUCUCUGGGCAUUACCUGACGCUGAGGAGCGAAAGCAUGGGGAGCAACA
rnacentral:rRNA from 1 species